CGGCGUGCUUAACACAUGCAAGUCGAGCGAAGGCUCUUCGGGGUACGUCGAGCGGCGAACGGGUGAGUAACACGUGAGUAAUCUGCCCUUGGCUUUGGGAUAAGCCCGGAAACGGGGUCUAAUACCGGAUACGACGCACUCUCGCAUGGGAUGUGUGUGGAAAGUUUUUCGGCCAGGGAUGUGCUCGCGGCCUAUCAGCUUGUUGGUGGGGUAAUGGCCUACCAAGGCUUCGACGGGUAGCCGGCCUGAGAGGGUGACCGGCCACACUGGGACUGAGACACGGCCCAGACUCCUACGGGAGGCAGCAGUGGGGAAUAUUGGACAAUGGGCGGAAGCCUGAUCCAGCAACGCCGCGUGAGGGAUGACGGCCUUCGGGUUGUAAACCUCUUUCAGUACCGACGAAGCGCCGAUGAUGGUGGUGACGGUAGGUACAGAAGAAGCACCGGCCAACUACGUG
rnacentral:rRNA from 1 species